rnacentral:lncRNA from 1 species
CGCACAUCAGCCUUAGACUCUGAGCCCAAGCAAGGUGAUUACAAUUAUGAUGAUCUAUUAUUCCACUGUGAAGUUAGGUAGGGGGUCUAUUGAGAAGUUCAGGAAGAUCUUGGUCAGGGAAAUCAUCUUCUCCAACUAACUUGCCAAGCCUGAUUCCUGAUUUUACCUUUCACUAUAUAACAUACCUACCCACUCUUUAUACCCAAGUGUCUUACCCAGGGGUGAAGAACUGAAACAUCUUCCUGAACCAGCCUCUGUCACCACUGUCCUCCUGGCAGCAUCCUGAAUUGCGAAGAGCCACCCCGCCCCCCAGACAUUCAGUGACCUAGACUCAGACCUCUGGGGAAGGACACAGUCUCCAGGCUCAGCCAGUAGGCAGGGGACUGUGACAGAAAGGGACAUGUGGCCAAGUCCCUCUGGUGAGAUACAAACCUGGACUUUGGCCAAACCUGGUUUUCAACCUAGAAGCAUCUUUCUCCUGGACCUGGAAGCGAUCCCUUUGAAACACAGUCAUAAAGACAGGGCCUCUGUCUCCUGGGUCCUGUGGGAAGAGUCCUCAGGUGACCUUGGGAGUUCAUGCUUCCUCUCUAAGCCUUCGACCCCAAGCUGAAACAGUGGAGCUGCUGGAGAUGGUACUGGGUGCCCCUGCUAGCUGAGACAUUGCAGGACUUUUGGGACACGAGGUUCUGCCACUCUGAUCAGUCGUCAUCACCGUGUGUGCACAAGAGAACCCUGCAGAGCUUCCCAUGCUACAGCCAUUCAAACCUCUAAUCCUUGGAAUCCUGGUGUGGGAAAACUCAAGUGAAAAUGCCCAGGAAAUUCUGAUUGCUGCAGAGACAUUGAGGGAAUCAGCGAAUCUGGCAAUGAGGCUGGAGUGCAGUGGUGCCAUCUCAGCUUACUGCAACCUCUGACUCCCUGGUUCAAACGAUUCUCCUGCCUCAGCCUCCCGAGUAGCUGGGAUUACAGAGCUUGAGGCACCAUGACACAGAAACCAAGGACACAUGACUUCAGAUACUUAAGAAAACUCAUGUCAUCAAAUCACAUCAAGAACAUUGGAUGGCACAUCAAGACCUUCGUAAUAAGGUGGGUGUGGAUCUCAGCUAUCACACCCAGAUUGAGGAAAAAUUCCCAAAGUGAUUUUAUUUUUAGUUGUACAUCUUGUCUUUGUUUCCUUCUGAACUCCCAUUCCUCAAGAAUGGCAGAAACCCAAUCUCAGCUCUUGCAGGACCGCUAUUCUGGUUCUGAGCCCGUGACUAAGGAUUAGAGAUUCUUUGUCCUGCUGAGACAUCUGGUCUGAACAAGCAGGUAUCCUCUAUGCCAGGGCUAGGAUUUAAAUACUGGCCUCAUUCCAAAAUUUACUUUCUAUUCUCCUUCUCUGCAUACUUAGGUAGUUUGAUUUCAGCUAAGCAGAAGCAGCAGCUCUCAUUAAUUGGAACCUGGUUCUGCUGCCUUGUCCUGCCAUUCUAACACUAAAGUCCUGUUUCUCUGCUUUCAUGAGCUCCUGGGUUUUGUACACGUUCCUUUUUCACUGCAACGUGUCAAAGCCUAUUAAAAUUUUGUGUUUGAAUUUUACUAUCCAACUUCUUUUUUUUUUUUUUCUUACCAAUGAGUGCAUUCAUAUCUUGUGUCUUUGGUCUUACACUCCUAAUAACUUUGUAAAGUGGGUUAGGCAGGUACAUUCAUUUACAAAUAAAAGAACUGAGGUGCUAACAUUUUCUGGAUUUGCAUUUCUUAAAGGCAGAGUGGGGAGGUAGCAAAAGCUGUCCUGGGGACCAGCCCAGUUCUUUUUGAUCCAGUGCUGUUACAAGCAUUCAAUCUAUCUUUUACUCUCUAGUUUUCUUUUUGCUUUACUCUAGUUUGUUUUCAAUAAUCUUGGGAAUUACACAUUUUUUUUCUUUUUGAGACUGAGUCUUGCUCUGUCACUCAGGCUGGAGUGCAGUGGUGCGAUCUUGGGUCACUAUAACCUCCACCUCCCGGGUUCAAGCGAUUCUGCCACCUCAGCCUCCCAAGUAGCUGGGAUUAUAGGCACGCGCCACCAUGCUCAGCGAAUUUUUGUAUUUCUAGUAGAGAUGGGGUUUCACCAUGUUGACCAGGCUAGUCUCAAACUCCUGACCUCAGGUGAUCUGCCCGCCUUGGCCUCCCAAAGUGCUGGGUUACAGGUGUGAGCCACCACACCUGGCUGGGAAUUACACAUAUUUUAAAAGUGAAUUUUAAUUUUAUUUACUUUAAAAAUGUUGUGCAUCAUGCAAUAGAAUUAAGUUAUCACUGUCUGUUCUUUGAAAUUUUAUGCCCAAAAAUGUCAUGCAUGCUUGUAAUAGACCCAAAUAUGGGCAAGAACUACGAACGUAAUCAAAAGAAAGACAUUUCUGAGAAUUCUACCCCAACCCAGCUUUGCUAAAAACAUGAAUAGGUUACAGUUAAGUAAGACA